rnacentral:rRNA from 1 species
CAGCAGCCACGGGAAUACGGAGGGUGCAAGCGUUAAUCGGAAUUACUGGGCGUAAAGCGCACGCAGGCGGUCUGACAAGUCAGAUGUGAAAUCCCCGGGCUUAACCUGGGAACUGCAUUUGAAACUGUCAGGCUGGAGUCUUGUAGAGGGGGGUAGAAUUCCAGGUGUAGCGGUGAAAUGCGUAGAGAUCUGGAGGAAUACCGGUGGCGAAGGCGGCCCCCUGGACAAAGACUGACGCUCAGGUGCGAAAGCGUGGGGAGCAAACAGGAUUAGAUACCCCUGUAGUCCCUGUCUCUUAUAC